AUGAGCUUGAACCCAAUUGCAAUUGAAAUAAACGGAUCGCCCCUCCCGGGGCUCCUUGCUUGAUUAGCUGUGUCUGUUUCUCCUUAUUCCUCAGCUGGAACGGACAGAAAUUUCUAUAACAGUUUUGGCAACCACAAAGGGACUUCUCCAGCUCGGAACCGCUCCAGGGCCCCUUCCUCGAGAAGGACCAGCGCGCGCUGAGGUGAGUUUACCUUGGGUUGUAUUGUCUUGGGAGUUGGCCCCCAGCAGAGACGAUAAGGAGGAUUCUGAGAGACGGACCACAAGCAACGAGACAGAUCGCGUUGGAAAAGGCCUCAUCAGGAGACAGAGUGUUUAAUGGGUGAGAAGCCUGACGAAAGGCUGAGAGGGUGAAGGAAGAAAAAAGGGAAUAUAAGAAUGCUGGUGGCUGUAUUGAAGGAAGCAGAGCCUGGUGUCGGCAGAGGCCGAGGAAGAGGACAAGGGUUCAUUGGUAGAGUGGGACCCAAUAAAGGGGGGUCCAGAGGACUUUAAAUUUAUUACUGUCAUCAAAAAAGGCACAUGAACAGAGAUUGUAAACUGAGAGCCCAGGGACAACUUAAACCUCCUCAAGGUGUUAAUAAGGGCCAAGGUCCAGCUUGGACACCGCCUAAUCAACCCUUCCAGGGGGUAAUGCAGAUUGGGGGACUUUAUGACUGAUGGGAUAAAGGGGGUUCCACGUUGUUAUGUUGCCCAGUGUUUUCCUUAUCCCGCAAUGAUCCCCUAGUUCCUUUGAUGAUUGGAGGAAAACAGUAUGAUUGCUUAUUAGACACAGGAGCCACCCUUUCCAUCCUUACUGAUUUGGAUCUUCCUAAAAGUGGCAAAAUUGAACGUGUUAUGGGAAUUGAAGGAAAUCCUUUUCGUUGUCAGAUUUCCAAACCUUUAAGCAUACACAUAGGGCCCCUGUCUGAGGAACACACUUUCCUACUUACCCAAGGACCAACCAGUUUUAUUGGGACACGAUUUGCUUUGCAAACUCCGGGCUACUAUUCACUGCUCUGACCAAGGCAUUCUUUUGAGCCUGCCAAAUGACUCUGUCAUUCCCUUGAUGGCUCUAAUGAAUCAUGAAACUCCUUUAUAUUUAGCAAUGCUUCCCAGGGAACUGGAAAAUGCUGUCUCACCUUGGGUAUGGGGAAUAAAAAACACUGACGUGGAAUUACUAAAGUCAGCUGAGCCAGUUCGGAUAUGUGUUAGGACAGACAUAGACCCCCCUCGCAUUCCCCAAUACCCUCUCCCACGAGAGGCAAUAGAGGGACUGACUCCUUUAAUUGAGUCAUUUUUAGGGGGUCAUCCCAGAUAUCCUGGGGGCAUCUCCCUCAGGGGUAUGUGGAAUCCCCCGCUAUAUUUUCAGCUGUGUUGCAUAAAGAUUUACAAGAUGUAAUUCUCCCAGGACAGUCUAUGUUGCUUUUGUGUGUGGAUGAUCUUUUAUUAUGCUCAGAAAUACAAGAGACAAAUUAAUGAGCAGGACUCGAUAGAGUUUUUAUGUGCCUUAGCAAUGAAAGGACACAAGGUGUCACCCUCAAAGAUUCAAUAUUGCUCACAGGAGGUGAAAUAUUUAGGGCACAUACUAAAACCAGGAAUGAGAAGCCUUGCUCAGGAAAGAAUAAGUGCCAUUUUAAAUGUACCCCAGCCCAAGACAAAGAGACAGUUAAGGGGGUUCCUCGGCAUGGCAGGAUUCUGUAAGUCCUGGAUUCCUGGGUAUAGGGAAAUGUCAAAACCACUAGUGCAGAUGACCACUAAGGAUGAACCUGACCCAGUGAAAUGGACUAAAGAUGCUACCAAAUCCUUUGAGAGUAUCAAGACAGCCCUUGCAUUGGCACCUGCCUUGGGAUUCCCGGAUUCUAGGAAACCUUUUACCUUAUUUGUUCAUGAAAGGGCGGGAGUGGCCUCUGGUGUUCUUAUGCAAGCUUUAGGAUCACAGCAACAGGCUGUGGCCUAUUUUUUAGCACUACUGAAUCCUGUUGCAAGAGAAGCAGUAGACUGUCUUAAAGCCCUAGUUGCUGCAGCUUUGUUAGUUGAGAAAGCUCAAGAGUUGGUACAGAGACAUCACCUAGUGGAAAAAGUUCCACAUGCUGUUACUCUCCUUCUAAAUUAACGAAAUUUAGAAGGAUCAGUGGAUGGUGUAGACCUUGCCUGGACUGAAACUUAAAUUCACUCGAAAGGGAACCCCAGAUAAGGUCCCCAGCGUGGGAGCGACGCUUGUUGGCCAACUGGCAAGGCCAACCCGAAGUAGAUGACUACAGGGCAGCCAAGGCCCUAAACGACUGAUAUCAGUUUUCGAUGGAUAUAGAAGAUUGGACUGUAUUAUUUGGAUUAGAGUUUAUUGCUCUUUUUUCUUUUAUAUGUUGGUAUUUUAACCUGUUGUGAAAAUGUUUCCUGUGUUGAUUUUGUUGUUUUUCCCUUCCCUUUCUUAUGGCCAUAAUAAUUUCAUUAAAUUUAGCCAUGUGGGGAGGAAUAGAAUCCCAGAAUGUAGGAAUGACUCAUGCUGGGUGUGCACCUUGGUGCCUCCCGAUGCGGAAUGAGGACUUUCUUUCCUUCCUAUCCCUUUGAUGGCUGCAGAUAUUACUCAUUCAUAGGUGUAUGUUACUCCCCAUCAGGCUACGACUCAUACCUGGCAACAAGAAGGUAUAAACCCUAACUCCAGGUAUUUGUUAACCUUCAAGGCGCAGGGUGAGUGGUGUCUCCUGGGAAAUGGGCUAGGCCUGUUUUUAGGGAACAGUACUUGCAAAUACUAUGUGGGCCCAAAUGGUGAUGGAGAGUGGGUCACUCCCCUUGUUUAUUGUUUUGACACCACUGACGACAUUAACCACAAGGGUGCCUGCGCCAAUAGUGUCUGCUAUGAAAGCUGCACUAUGGUAUGGGAAAACUCCAAUGGACAAUGUCUGUAUGCAGGCAAAAAUGUAGAGACGGAGACAUCUCCUCGAAGCACGGGCCUAUUGGGUUUAUGGGAUGUUAUACAUCCCUGUUACAAAAAGCGUUGGGAGUGACAUGGGAUACUCCUCCCGGCCCUGUUCCAGCAGGGUUUGGUUCUUACUGGGUGUGUGGAAAUAAAGCCUAUCAUACCCUUCCAGUACACUUCUCAGGUUCUUGUUAUCUUGCCUGGUUGUUACCCCCACUCGUAUUGUGAAGCAAUUACACAAAGGCAAGAUUAGAAAUGUAAGGGACACUACCAAACCUCAAGCUGAAGAGGAUGCAGCCCUUGAACCAAUGACAUGGACAACAUUCCCUAAUAAUCGUAGACUUAGGAGAAGGGUUAUAAGACUCCAGGGUUUUUAUAAAUUAUGGCUAAUGAAACUGCUACAAUAGUUACAAGUCAAGCCACUGAGCUUAAGCAACUUAGACAGUUAGCUUUACAAAAUCAUAUGGCUUUAGAUAUUUUUUUUUGGCAGCUCAAGGAGGAACUUGUACCCUCAUAGGCCAAGAGUGUUGUGUAUUUGUGAAUGACACCUAUAAAGAUACCUUUGACAGGGCAGCCCACUUAAGAGACAUUGCCCAAGACAGGUCUGCUGAAGGUAGCUGGACAAAUGAUUGGUUUGAUGGUUUAUUUUCCUGGUUCCCUUCCUUAACAGGCUGGUUAAAGGGACUCCUGAAAGGAGGUGUUAUGAUUUUACUGAUGAUUGUGUUUAUUUUUUUGUGUGUGUGUUUAAACUGUCCAUGUGAAUAAUGUCUAAAUGUGCUAGGACAACUAGCAAAUCGAAGGGGAUAUUUCUCUCUUUACAAGAAAGAUGGGUUUUGGCAAAGGCGGAAAUGAUGCCAGAUGCUGAUAUUCUGACCCCUACAUAUUUGCUGUAACACUCCUACUGCUGUGAAAAGUGUGAUCAUGAGCCCAUUAUAUGGGUCAUGAUCAAAGGGGAAAAAUUGAUAUAAAAUUAUUCUACUUAACUGCCAGGGGACAAAUUUGUCACAUACACAUGGGAGAAAGAAGAAGGACAAAAUGCAGGGUCAGCUAUAAGUAGUCAGGAAGUUCCUUCAAGAGGAAAUGUAGCCAAACUCCAAACCUGGAGACAAUGGACCUUUCUGUGCCUGCGUCCUGUAGAUAGCUAACAACUUAGUUUGCAAAAUAAGCAAGGAGGAGGGGGCAAAUAGAUGAACAAUAAGGGGUCAUAAGAGGGGCAGAUACAUGUAGCUUGCUAAUUAUGUAUGGUAAUGAUGGCAAAUUUUGACCAAUCAUAGAGUGAUAGAUUAUCAUAAGCAACUGUAUACAAUGCUUUGGUGUAAGUGUUUUCUUUGUUCUUGCUGACUUAUGAGCUCGAACCCAAUUGCAAUUGAAAUAAACGGAUCGCCCCUCCCGGGGCUCCUUGCUUGA